AUUGAACGCUGGCGGCAGGCUUUACACAUGCAAGUCGAGCGGCAGCACGGGGCUAACCCUGGGGUCCAGCGGCGGACGGGUGAGUAAUACCUCGGAACAUGCCCAGUCGUGGGGGAUAACACUUGGAAACGGGUGCUAAUACCGCAUACGUCCUGAGGGGGAAAGCGGGGGAUCUCCAGACCUCACGCUAUUGGAGUGGCCGAUGUCGGAUUAGCUAGUUGGUGGGGUAAAGGCCUACCAAGGCGACGAUCCGUAGCUGGUCUGAGAGGAUGAUCAGCCACACUGGAACUGAGACACGGUCCAGACUCCUACGGGAGGCAGCAGUGGGGAAUAUUGGACAAUGGGGGAAAGCCUGAUCCAGCCAUGCCGCGUGUGUGAAGAAGGUCUUCGGAUUGUAAAGCACUUUAGGUAGGGAGGAAAGGGAGUAAGUUAAUACCGCGCGGUACUGACGGUACCAACAGAAGAAGCACCGGCUAACUUCGUG
rnacentral:rRNA from 1 species